GACAGAUGACUGAGGUCGUAGAUUUGCCAGACAAUGUCUGGGAAAUGAUAUUACGUUUGCUAGAUGGGGUUUCGCUUAUAAACCUGUCUCUUGCUUCGGCUUAUUACAGUAGUCUGAUCGAAGAAUGUGUUGACUGGAAAGAUAAAUUUCAAUCAAUACCCGGUCGUUUUGUAGAAGCGGUUACGCAUGUUUCUGCCGACGUUCCAUUGAAAGGAAGAGAUCCGAAUUUCUAUAAAAAAUUUUGCUUUCAUUUUUCGGCUCUGUGCAAUAUAGAUUCUUUGGGCAGAUCUUAUAAUCAAAGCUUCUUCAAACUCAAUUUUCCUACAAUUUCUGCGACAAUAAUAUGUUGCGGGUUUCUAAUUGUUGGAUGUAUAGAUGGUUCAGUUGGAAUUUUUGAACCUAAACAGAACAAAAACAGCUUUAGUCUCUUCAUAAAGUGAAAUGGGUCGCGAGACUGCAUAGCGGGCCAAUUACAGCUUUACACUGUUACUGUCGCUCCAUUUUUCGCAAGUUUCCUUCGACGUUGAUUUCUGCUGGAAAAGAUGCUUGCCUGAAGUUCACGCGGUAUGACAAAACUUAUCUGCAAGUUGAUGACCCAUGGGCUCUACCGCUGUCUAGUGAAAUAACAGCCUCGACUAAAGAUGGCCGUCGGAUUUUAAUAGGCCAAGAAAAUGGGGAUGUGCGACUUCUAACUAUUCGAUUAGAUCCAUCCGAGCUGGACGAAGGGAAGCAAAAAUGUACAGCCAGUGUAUCUGCUUUAUACACAGACACUCGAAGGAGAAGCGUAAAUGCUGUAGCUUUGUCAAAUGCAACUGUUGCUGUUCAAGUUAAAGAUAGCACUCUGCUCGUUCUUCAUGUGGACUUUAAAGAUGUGCCUCCUCGCCUUGUUCUGGUGCACUCAUUUUCCAAUUUUUUUCUACACCCAAGUCUAUACCUGGAGCUGGAUUUCAUCAAUGGAUCAGAAGUUGACGCUUUAAGCAUUCAAGAAGUCCUCGAUCGUACUGAGAAGGCGAUCGGGGGUGUCAAACGCGUAGUGGCAUUCGGCCCUAUCUUCAUCUGCCUCGACGUCAGUAACAAACUAUUUAUGAUGACAGUUCAGAACUUGAAAGAUUUCGUAUUGGGGCAAAAGAAGCUGGACAAAAGGAUGCUUGAAAUUGAAUCUGCAGUGUACUUGGAUUUCAAAAGCAUGUGUUUCGGAUACACAACAGGAGGAUUCGUGUUGAUACUCACGGAGAUGAAUGAUGGCAAUAAAGUGCAUACGUCCAUUUUUCAGAAAUCAUGAAGCGUGAACGUACUAUUUAACAUCCACGUGCAGUUGAGCAGUAUGGUCAAACGACUGCACCAGUGCUUUUAAUAAUCCUUCGCUACUAACAGCUUGAAACGUCAUCAAAAUAACUGAAAUUGUCAAUUCGUAACUUGACUGAUUUUUCACCUCAUUCUGUCUUCUCUCGUCUUUCCCAUCUCAAACGAAAAAAAACUUUUUCUCGAUUUAUUAACAAGGCUGUGCUCUAAAACUUAACAAUUUAAUCCCUUUUUUAAAAAGUUUGUUCAGAUACUUGUGAAAUUUAGAUAAUGGCUUCACCUAACUUGAAAUAUUUAUUUUGCUCUAAUUGAGUUUUAUCCAAUUUGUUUUCUGCACAAUUUCAAGUCUUUAGAUUUCGAAAACAACCAUAUCAGCACUGUUCGAAUCUCCGUUAUUUGUGACAGCUCUUUGGUUCACAUUCGAAUCAAAAGUGUCAGCUAGUCGGUCCUCGAAUACGACUCGAGGGUUGUGAUUAUUGAAAGGUCCUAUCUGAAUGUGGUCUUCACUGUGGUUCGAAUGCCGGUAGCGAACUUCAUUGUGUGCGCCCUCUCCGCUGCCACUCAUCUCGGUAAGACUCAAAAUGUCGUCGUCGUCAUCCUCGUCCUCUAAAGCGAUGAAUGGUAUCGGGUUUGAGUUUCGGUGUCUGUCGAAUUUCAUGUAGAUGAGAUAAGCGAUAAGAAGGAUGCCGACGCCAGUCAAAACUACUAUGAUCGUGCCUUUAGUUAUAGAACUUGUACCAUGUGAUGGCGAGGGCUCAAAUGUUUCAACUGUGGUUAUCGGAAGAGUAGUAUUGAUGGUAGUUGUUGUAGUUGUGGCAGUUGUUGUAGUUGUGGCAGUUGUUGUAGGCUUAGUGAUGGUGUUUGUAAGGCUAGUGGCGACGGUGGUUGUAAGUUCUGUGGUGCCUUCAGCCACAGUGGUUGACGUACUGCUCGUUUGGUUAGUAGUCGAGGUGGGUGCAGUACCUGCCACUAAAGAGAAGAAAAUCAGAAUCCCUAGGUAGAAACGUGUCUGCAUCAUUCUGAAUAAUUAACAAUGGCUAGUUGCGCCCAAAACCAUUAGUAUUGAAUAAAAGUGUAACAAUUAACAAACAAUAGUCUCGGUGUCAUAUGGGUGAGAUUGAGCUUUGUUGAUCUAGUUCAUAGUUGGCAUUAAAUAACUAUAUUGCUUAUUUCUUACAUCUAUAACAAAAUGUUGGACAAUAUGAAAUAACCCACUGAAGGUCAUAUUCGAGAAAAAUAAAACUACGAGUAGUUAGUUACACAGGUCAAUUUCAACCAGAUGUUCAGUUGAAGGUAGAAAGUUCAAGCUUGACACGUUUCGUAAUUGGCUUCGUUAUGGCGUUCGGCGUAGUAAUGGCGUUUCUUUUGGUAACAUUGACAUCAUUAGUAAAGAAACAUUGGUCGAGGAUCUCAAAGCUUAGUCA